GGGCCAGCUUAGCCUAGCGGUUACUUCGGAUAAUCUUUGCAGAUUCACCAAUUGCCUAACGGCGGUUCGAUACUCCGCGGGUGCUGUCUGGCUUUUUU
rnacentral:vault_RNA from 1 species